AACGAACGCUGGCGGCAUGCCUAACACAUGCAAGUCGAACGGGAUCCUAGCUUGCUAGGUGAGAGUGGCGGACGGGUGAGUAACACGUGGGAAUCUGCCUUUUGGUUCGGGAUAACCGCGGGAAACUGCGGCUAAUACCGAAUGCCCUCGAGAGAGGAAAGAUUUAUCGCCAGAAGAGGAGCCCGCGUCCGAUUAGGUAGUUGGUGGGGUAAAGGCCUACCAAGCCGACGAUCGGUAGCUGGUCUGAGAGGAUGAUCAGCCACACUGGGACUGAGACACGGCCCAGACUCCUACGGGAGGCAGCAGUGGGGAAUAUUGGACAAUGGGCGAAAGCCUGAUCCAGCAAUGCCGCGUGAGUGAUGAAGGCCUUAGGGUUGUAAAGCUCUUUUACCCGGGAUGAUAAUGACAGUACCGGGAGAAUAAGCCCCGGCUAACUCCGUGCCAGCAGCAGCGGUAAU
rnacentral:rRNA from 1 species